rnacentral:rRNA from 1 species
GAGAAGCCCUUCGGGGUGAGUAGAGUGGCGAACGGGUGAGUAACACGUGGGCAACCUGCCCCUCGCAGGGGGAUAACCGGAGGAAACUCCGGCUAAUACCCCGUAAGCUUUCAGAGUCGCAUGGCUCUGUAUGGAAGGGUAGCUUCGGCCAUCCGGCGAGGGAUGGGCCCGCGGUGCAUUAGCUAGUUGGUGGGGCAAUGGCCCACCAAGGCGACGAUGCGUAGCUGGUCUGAGAGGAUGAUCAGCCACACUGGGACUGAGACACGGCCCAGACUCCUACGGGAGGCAGCAGCCAGGAAUCUUGGGCAAUGGGCGCAAGCCUGACCCAGCAACACCGUGUGGGCGAUGAAGGCCUUCGGGUCGUAAAGCCCUGUUGAUAGGGACGAAGGGCGAAGGGUUAAUAGCCCCUAGCCUGACGGUACCUUUCGAGGAAGCCCCGGCUAACUACGUGCCAGCAGCCGCGGUAAUACGUAGGGGGCGAGCGUUG